rnacentral:lncRNA from 1 species
CAGCGCCCAGUGCACCAUGGCACUCUGUUUGUCCCGCAGAAAGUGCAGCUCCUGCAGUCCGGCCAGCGCUGCGUGCAGCCUCUCUCCUGUCCUGCCCCGGUCCAUUCCCGCACCCGCGCCUAGCACACCUGAUCCAGGAACCGUGCAUUGAUGAGAACGGGCAAUCAGAUAGCAUCAGGGUUGGAGCCCU